CAUUAAAUGACCAAAAUUUUUUCUGAAAGACAAGAAUAUAAGUUCCUGUGGUUUCCUCUGCUAAUCUUCAAGAUUUUUUCAUACGUUUUCUUUCCUAGGAUCUCAUGGCUACUGUGUGUUCUGUGGCUUACAUACAUGGUUAAAUAUGAAUAAAAUGUGUUAGAAAUAUCCAGUUUUUCUGAAAGAAGCAGCAACUAUUCAAGGAAACUACAUACAGACACACACACUGUCUAAAGCUGCUUGUCCCAAGUGGGGUUGCGGUGAACUGGAGCCUAACCCAGCAACGCAGAGCGCAAGGCUGGAGGGAGCGGGGACACACCCAGGAUGGGACACCAGUCCGUUCCAAGACACCCCAAGCGGAACUUGAACCCCAGACCCACCGGAGAGCAUGACCAGGGGAAAGAGCCAAACUUUAAGACCUGAGAAUUUUCAAGAUGGCCCCAUCGUCUCUCACGUCAGAUCCCUGAAUCCUUGCUCCCAAGUCUCGACUCCUUCGUCUUCGACCACCACUUUCCACUAUGACCCCGAUCUCGGACAUCCCUCAGAACGAUGUACGCCCCUCGCUUCUAUGCCCCACGCCUGUCUCCGAAAAUGUCUUUUGUCUUGCAAACAGAUGUUUGACAUAUGAUGUUUCAUCACUAGAUUAAGGGUUUAUUUACUCUGAUGUAAGGCUAUUCAUGUAGUGAAAGCUGCUGAUAUGAUUUAACUUUGUAAGUUAAUAGUUAUAUGUUAAGCUUAAUUUCUCAGGACCUU
rnacentral:lncRNA from 1 species